AUUGAACGCUGGCGGCAUGCUUUACACAUGCAAGUCGAACGGCAGCACGGGUGCUUGCACCUGGUGGCGAGUGGCGAACGGGUGAGUAAUGCAUCGGAACGUAUCCAAUAAUGGGGGAUAACGCACCGAAAGGUGUGCUAAUACCGCAUACGCCCUGAGGGGGAAAGUGGGGGACCGUAAGGCCUCACGUUAAUGGAGCGGCCGAUGCCUGAUUAGCUAGUUGGUGAGGUAAAGGCUCACCAAGGCGACGAUCAGUAGCUGGUCUGAGAGGACGACCAGCCACACGGGGACUGAGACACGGCCCAGACUCCUUCGGGAGGCAGCAGUGGGGAAUUUUGGACAAUGGGCGCAAGCCUGAUCCAGCCAUGCCGCGUGAGUGAAGAAGGCCUUCGGGUUGUAAAGCUCUUUCGCAAGGAAAGAAAACUUAUCCCCUAAUACGGGAUGAGGAUGACGGUACCUUGAUAAGAAGCACCGGCUAACUACGUGCCAGCAGCCGCAGUAAAAC
rnacentral:rRNA from 1 species